rnacentral:SRP_RNA from 1 species
UGGCAAGUCUUUUACGACCAGCUCCUGAAAAUCCCCCAGGGUAGGAAUACAGCAAGGGUAAUCGGUUGUAGCGGUGCGAUAGAAGUAACUUGCCAUAU